rnacentral:lncRNA from 1 species
GUACGCCACUUUGGCUUGCAAAUGAUCACUUUUGCUAUUUUCGAGGCCAAACUGGAAUGCUGGAGUUCUAAAUUCUGCGUAUCCCUUCUUGCAUGUGUCUUGUUGUCGACUUGCGCCAUCUUUCCCUGUGUUUCAGGCCUCACAAGAUUAAAACUUGAUGCUUCAGACCCUCUGAGCCCCUUUGUCUGCGUGGAACGGGUCUCUAGUCGCGGGUGGACAAAGCGUAGGAUGAGUGACAAACAGACGCACACAGGAGAGGUCGAGGAAUCUGAAUGUCAUUUUUCAAAUCGAGCAUCAGACUUUUUAUGCAGAAGACAAUAAGGAAGUUGGAUGACAUACCUGCAAGCUUUCCCAGAUAUCUCUGAAGAUACCAUUUUGAAUAGGACUCACAUCACUCACUGCCUUGGUAGGGUCAUCUUUGUUCCACAAGAGGAAAACUGUCCACGAGAGGGUGGAGAUCACUCUGGCCAUGCAUAAUCAGAUUAACAUCAACGGUCCUUUACUCUGAAGAAGCCAUGGAGACCCCUCUUGCUGAUUAAGCCAGCUCAGGCUCCUGUGGAUGCUAUGGCCCUGGGCACUGAGCCCAGCAUCUGAACUUGUUCCUGGACCAGAGGUUCGAGAUGUCCACUUCUGAGGCCAUUUACUUCUUUGUGGGCCACCAGCUGUU